AUUGAACGCUGGCGGCAUGCCUUACACAUGCAAGUCGAACGGUAACAGGUCUUCGGAUGCUGACGAGUGGCGCACGGGUGAGUAAUACAUCGGAACGUGCCCAGACGUGGGGGAUAACGAGGCGAAAGCUUUGCUAAUACCGCAUACGAUCUAAGGAUGAAAGCAGGGGACCGCAAGGCCUUGUGCGGUUGGAGCGGCCGAUGGCAGAUUAGGUAGUUGGUGGGAUAAAAGCUUACCAAGCCGACGAUCUGUAGCUGGUCUGAGAGGACGACCAGCCACACUGGGACUGAGACACGGCCCAGACUCCUACGGGAGGCAGCAGUGGGGAAUUUUGGACAAUGGGCGAAAGCCUGAUCCAGCAAUGCCGCGUGCAGGAUGAAGGCCUUCGGGUUGUAAACUGCUUUUGUACGGAACGAAAAGGCUCUGGCUAAUACCUGGGGCACAUGACGGUACCGUAAGAAUAAGCACCGGCUAACUACGUG
rnacentral:rRNA from 1 species